rnacentral:rRNA from 1 species
AACGAACGCUCGCGGCAGGCUUAACACAUGCAAGUCGAGCGCCCCGCAAGGGGAGCGGCAGACGGGUGAGUAACGCGUGGGAAUCUACCCAUCUCUACGGAAUAACGCAUGGAAACGUGUGCUAAUACCGUAUACGUCCUUCGGGAGAAAGAUUUAUCGGAGAUGGAUGAGCCCGCGUUGGAUUAGCUAGUUGGUGGGGUAAAGGCCUACCAAGGCGACGAUCCAUAGCUGGUCUGAGAGGAUGAUCAGCCACACUGGGACUGCGACACGGCCCAGGCUCCUACUGGAGGCAGCAGUGGGGAAUAUUGGACAAUGGGCGCAAGCCUGAUCCAGCCAUGCCGCGUGAGUGAUGAAGGCCCUAGGGUUCUAAAGCUCUUUCACCGGUGAAGAUAAUGACGGUAACCGGAGAAGAAGCCCCGGUUAACUUCGUGCCAGCCGCCGCCGUAAGAC